rnacentral:rRNA from 1 species
UACGUAGGUGGCAAGCGUUGUCCGGAAUUAUUGGGCGUAAAGCGCGCGCAGGCGGUCCUUUAAGUCUGAUGUGAAAGCCCACGGCUCAACCGUGGAGGGUCAUUGGAAACUGGGGGGACUUGAGUGCAGAAGAGGAAAGCGGAAUUCCACGUGUAGCGGUGAAAUGCGUAGAGAUGUGGAGGACACCAGUGGCGAAGGCGCUUUCUGGUCUGUGAACUGACGCUGAGGC